GGGUCAGUAGGUUGGUCGUGCCACCGGUACGUACUGGUCUCACUGAUUCCUCCUUCCUGAAGAACCGUAAUGCCAUUAAUUUGGUGUUGCGGGGAAACAGGACUGUUACUUUGAAAAAAUUAGAGUGUUUAAAGCAAGCCAACGCUUGAAUACAUUAGCAUGGAAUAAUGAAAUAGGACGAUCGAUCCUAUUUUGUUGGUUUCUAGGAUUGACGUA
rnacentral:rRNA from 1 species